rnacentral:rRNA from 1 species
CCUACGGGGGGCAGCAGUGGGGAAUAUUGCACAAUGGGCGCAAGCCUGAUGCAGCCAUGCCGCGUGUGUGAAGAAGGCCUUCGGGUUGUAAAGCACUUUCAGCGGGGAGGAAGGCGGUGAGGUUAAUAACCUCAUCGAUUGACGUUACCCGCAGAAGAAGCACCGGCUAACUCCGUGCCAGCAGCCGCGGUAAUACGGAGGGUGCAAGCGUUAAUCGGAAUUACGGGGCGUAAAGCGCACGCAGGCGGUCUGUCAAGUCGGAUGUGAAAGCCCCGGGCUCAACCUGGGAACUGCAUUCGAAACUGGCAGGCUAGAGUCUUGUAGAGGGGGGUAGAAUUCCAGGUGUAGCGGUGAAAUGCGUAGAGAUCUGGAGGAAUACCGGUGGCGAAGGCGGCCCCCUGGACAAAGACUGACGCUCAGGUGCGAAAGCGUGGGGAGCAAACAGGAUUAGAUACCCGAGUAGUC